rnacentral:tRNA from 1 species
AGUAAAGUGCCUGAUUUAAAGGAUUACAAUGAUAAAGUAAAUCAAAUAUAUUAAAAUAUAUCUUUACUG